rnacentral:rRNA from 1 species
CGAAGUCUGACGGAGCAACGCCGCGUGAGUGAUGAAGGCUUUCGGGUCGUAAAACUCUGUUGUUAGGGAAGAACAAGUGCUAGUUGAAUAAGCUGGCACCUUGACGGUACCUAACCAGAAAGCCACGGCUAAAUACGUGCCAGCAGCCGCGGUAAUACAG